AAAGGCAUGUAACAUGUAACAAAUUCAACAAACAAAAGCCACGGAAGUCAGAAAGAAUGAAAAAUGGCAAAGGCAAACGGCUGUCUCUUGAGUGUGAGGUUUUUGUACGGCGGGUAAAUGAGUCUGCAUCACUGUGGGUCACUUUUGGUGGCGGAACAAAACUAUCAGUUGGACGUGACACAGUCCCCGCCCUCACAGUCCUGCCCCCUUCCAGUGUGGAGGUGAAGCAGGGGAAGGCCACACUGGUGUGUCUGGCCAACAAGGGGUUCCCGUCAGACUGGACUCUGCGCUGGAAAGUGGACGGUACCAGUAGGAACUCGGGCGUGGCCGGGAGCGCCGGGGUCCUGGGGAAGGACGGCCUGUACAGCUGGAGCAGCUCCCUGACUCUCAGUGCGGAGGACUGGAUGAAGGCGGGGUCACUGACCUGUGAGGCCACAAAGGGCUCCCAGGCUGCCCCCCCUCAGACACUGAGGAGAGCUGACUGUGCUGAGUAGGGCGGGUGCAGGCCCAGCUCACACACUCUGAUCACACUGUGUUUACCCUGCUCUGCUCUCAGCCUCUCUGCUCCUUACUGCUGCACACUGAGCUGGGCCUGUGUGUGAAUCCUUCCUCCAGCCUGAGCUUUCACUGCUAAUGUCUCUCAUGUGCUCUGCUUGUGUCCUCAACAAAUAUGCAUACCUGCCUUCUUAUUUGUGUUUGCGUGAUUUUGGCAAUAGCUGUUAGAUAAAAGUCAUUGAAAUAAUAAAGAUUCUUUGAAAAGUUA